UACGAAGGGGGCUAGCGUUGUUCGGAAUUACUGGGCGUAAAGCGCGCGUAGGCGGUUUUGCAAGCCAGUGGUGAAAUGCCUGAGCUCAACUCAGGAAUGGCCUUUGGGACUGCGAGGCUUUGAGGACUGGAGAGGUGAGUGGAAUUCCCAGUGUAGAGGUGAAAUUCGUAGAUAUUGGGAAGAACACCGGUGGCGAAGGCGGCUCACUGGCCAGUUUCUGACGCUGUAGCGCGAAAGCGUGGGGAUCAAACAGG
rnacentral:rRNA from 1 species